GUAAGGUGAUAUGAACCGUUAUAACCGGCGAUUUCCGAAUGGGGAAACCCAGUGUGAUUCGUCACACUAUCAUUAACUGAAUCCAUAGGUUAAUGAGGCGAACCGGGGGAACUGAAACAUCUAAGUACCCCGAGGAAAAGAAAUCAACCGAGAUUCCCCCAGUAGCGGCGAGCGAACGGGGAGGAGCCCAGAGCCUGAAUCAGCAUGUGUGUUAGUGGAAGCGUCUGGAAAGGCGCGCGAUACAGGGUGACAGCCCCGUACACAAAAGCGCAUGUGCUGUGAGCUCGAUGAGUAGGGCGGGACACGUGGUAUCCUGUCUGAAUAUGGGGGGACCAUCCUCCAAGGCUAAAUACUCCUGACUGACCGAUAGUGAACCAGUACCGUGAGGGAAAGGCGAAAAGAACCCCGGCGAGGGGAGUGAAAAAGAACCUGAAACCGUGUACGUACAAGCAGUGGGAGCACAGGUUUACCUGUGUGACUGCGUACCUUUUGUAUAAUGGGUCAGCGACUUAUAUUCUGUAGCAAGGUUAACCGAAUAGGGGAGCCGGAGGGAAACCGAGUCUUAAUUGGGCGUUAAGUUGCAGGGUAUAGACCCGAAACCCGGUGAUCUAGCCAUGGGCAGGUUGAAGGUUGGGUAACACUAACUGGAGGACCGAACCGACUAAUGUUGAAAAAUUAGCGGAUGACCUGUGGCUGGGGGUGAAAGGCCAAUCAAACCGGGAGAUAGCUGGUUCUCCCCGAAAGCUAUUUAGGUAGCGCCUCGUGAAUUCAUCUCCGGGGGUAGAGCACUGUUUCGGCUAGGGGGCCAUCCCGGCUUACCAACCCGAUGCAAACUGCGAAUACCGGAGAAUGUUAUCACGGGAGACACACGGCGGGUGCUAACGUCCGUCGUGAAGAGGGAAACAACCCAGACCGCCAGCUAAGGUCCCAAAGUCAUGGUUAAGUGGGAAACGAUGUGGGAAGGCCCAGACAGCCAGGAUGUUGGCUUAGAAGCAGCCAUCAUUUAAAGAAAGCGUAAUAGCUCACUGGUCGAGUCGGCCUGCGCGGAAGAUGUAACGGGGCUAAACCAUGCACCGAAGCUGCGGCAGCGAACGUAUCACUUAAAGCGAUUCAGCGGGUUACGAUUGACGGAGCGAAGCGACGUCAAAGCGUAUACAAAGUCGAGUCGGUUUA
rnacentral:rRNA from 1 species